UGGGGAAUUUUGGACAAUGGGCGCAAGCCUGAUCCAGCCAUGCCGCGUGCAGGAUGAAGGCCUUCGGGUUGUAAACUGCUUUUGUACGGAACGAAAAGGUUCUUUCUAAUAAAGAGAGCUCAUGACGGUACCGUAAGAAUAAGCACCGGCUAACUACGUGCCAGCAGCCGCGGUAAUACGUAGGGUGCAAGCGUUAAUCGGAAUUACUGGGCGUAAAGCGUGCGCAGGCGGUGAUGUAAGACAGUUGUGAAAUCCCCGGGCUCAACCUGGGAACUGCAUCUGUGACUGCAUCGCUGGAGUACGGUAGAGGGGGAUGGAAUUCCGCGUGUAGCAGUGAAAUGCGUAGAUAUGCGGAGGAACACCGAUGGCGAAGGCAAUCCCCUGGACCUGUACUGACGCUCAUGCACGAAAGCGUGGGGAGCAAACAGGAUUAGAUACCCUGGUAGUCCACGCCCUAAACGAUGUCAACUGGUUGUUGGGUCUUCACUGACUCAGUAACGAAGCUAACGCGUGAAGUUGACCGCCUGGGGAGUACGGCCGCAAGGUUGA
rnacentral:rRNA from 1 species